GUAGGUGGCAAGCGUUGUCCGGAAUUAUUGGGCGUAAAGCGCGCACAGGCGGUUCUUUAAGUCUGAUGUGAAAGCCCACGGCUCAACCGUGGAGGGUCAUUGGAAACUGGAGAACUUGAGUACAGAAGAGGAAAGCGGAAUUCCACGUGUAGCGGUGAAAUGCGUAGAGAUGUGGAGGAACACCAGUGGCGAAGGCGGCUUUCUGGUCUGUAACUGACGCUGAGGCGCGAAAGCGUGGGGAGCAAACAGGAUUAGAUACCCUGGUAGUCCACGCCGUAAACGAUGAGUGCUAAGUGUUAGGGGGGUAUCCGCCCCUUAGUGCUGCAGCUAACGCAUUAAGCACUCCGCCUGGGAGUACGGCCGCAAGGCUG
rnacentral:rRNA from 1 species